AGGAAGGGGAGGGAGAGGCAGCAGCUCCAUAUUAAUGGGUUCCUUAAAGAGCAGCCUGGCACAGGUUUACUGGAGCAGUGGGGGAAAAGACUAAAGGCUUGUUGCACUGUUUCUGGAGGCAUGCUUGGUACCAUGAGGUGGGAAAGUGUCAGUACAUCUAAUUGUUGCUCAUAGGUAAACAGCUCCAGAUCUCUGAUGAACCUUUCUACCCUUUCCUGAAACUCUUCUAUUCCAAGACCAACUUUUUGAGAUGAUAGCACUGAUGUGCAAGCACGCCACAAGUUCUACAAAAAAAACCUGCCUUGGUCCAGGACCUUGCUGUGUCUGUGGUGCUCAUGGACUGCAGUACAAGAAGGACAUGGACAUACUGGAGAGAGGCAAACGAUGGGCCUUGAAGAUGCUGUAGGGCCUGGAGCAUCUUUCCUAUGAAAAGAGGUUCAACCUGGUCCUGGAUACCCUGCUGUAGGUGUCUCUGGCUGGACCAGAUCAACCCAGAGGUCCCUUCCAACCUCAGUGAUUCUGGCUAUUGUGUCUGGAGCUAAGAUCCAGGUCUCAUCCCAAGGACUACUCAAGAAUCACAGUGGUGGGAAUUAAGCUCAGGGUGUUCCUUAUCCCAUCACAGCUGGAUGAGUUCUAGCUAUUUACCAAAUGGAAAGGACAAGCAGCUUAAGGAAUUCAGAGCUCCAACACUCCAAUAAGAAAAUUGCAUCUCUGUGCAUGUGCUGAAGCAGCAGGGGUGAGCUGGCCAUAGCAGUUAACCUUCACUCUACAUUCUGGAUCACAGUUAGGUGGGAGCAGAAAAUAACCACUCUCUUCUGAUUUUGCAGAGCACAUUCAAGUAUUCUGGUUGCAGUAUUCCUUCAGCCACUCAUCUCUAGAGAAUAUACCAUAGAAAUAGAGAAAUAUUUUUAUCUUUUACAUUUUAUGAGGCAUGAUGUGUGGGCCACUGUUUGAGGCAGAAUAAUGCUCCAAUGUCCAUAUGGCCUGAAAAGAUGUAGCCAUGAAUACCUCUGUGUAUAAGAAGGGUUAUAGCACCUGGAUACAGCAAAAUUCUCCCACUGUUAGUGUUCCCUGGGCACACAGCCAAAAUACAUCAGCCAUGUGCUGAGUGAAUAUUGAAACAUUCCCAGUACAUCCCACAGCAUCACCAGUAAUCUCAUAUCUGUGCUGUGUCGUGACAGUAAGUUUUUCAGUAUAGCUAACCCGACCUAUAAACAUUUCUACCAACUGAGAACACAGGUGUUGCAAUGAAAUAUUUGACAACCUUUGCAGCAAAUAAGUUGAUACUCUAAUUUCUUAUAAAAAUCUAUGGAGUGUCAGAAGAAGUUUUGGGAUCAUUUAAAUUUUAAUGUGUUUUGAAAAAAUGGAGUCAUUUCAAGGCACUAGAGGGCUUUCGGGCUUAUUACAUUAGACUGCAAAGACUAAUCAUCAGCACGUAAAACUAUUGUUAAUUCAGAAGUUCAUAAAAAAAGAAGAAAAUUUAAGGUUAAAAAUAUCACUACUGCACUGGAUGACAUUGUUCCACUGAAAGUAGGUCUCGUUAAAGAAACCUGUUAUAUUUUUGAUGGGAUUUGUCUGGUUGAUAAAGAAAUUCACUAUGGUAUAACCUACUUUGAUUUCACUAGAUCUAAACUAGAUGACUCCCAGAUUGGAGCUGCUGCCAUAGAAAGGAACAGAAAGACUCAUCCUACAUCAAUUAAAAACUGUUUCAGUACGUCAAAAAGGUAUUUUUGAUGGAGAAAGAAGGAUUUCUAGUGAAUUGUAACUUUUUACUGUAAUGCCCCUAUAAAUAGGCAUUGAGUCACUAUAAUUAAGUACUUCUUCACUGAAACAUAAAUGCUUGUUGUUGUUUGUUUGUUUAGUGAAAACUGGCAAGCAGCUCAUGAAUAAGUAAUAAAACUGGAAAGUUAUUAUUACAUAUGUAAUCAAAGACAACACUGAGUGGUCAAAGUGUACUAAAAACAGCCAAGUGAAAGGUUUUUACCUCUGGAAGCAGAAAAACUGAAGUGAUUAGGAAGGCGAGUCGGUCUUAGAAACGAUGAAGAUAGAUUGAGGAGCAUGGUUUGAGCAUGGUAAUGAUGCAUUGAUGGUUGGACUAGACGAUCUUAGUGGUCUCUUCCAACCGUAAUGAUUCCAUGAUUGUAUGUGCUAUGAUUUCCUGGAGAAAUCUUCCAAUAAAAGCACUAAGACAAUCUUCAAAAUGUAUUUAAUUGAUUUAAGUAUUUACCGAAGUCAUGUCUCUGGUACUAAAAAAGAAUAUCACACUCUCACUUGUAGAGAAGAGCUGAAAUAGUAAAAACUGAAGCUUUAAAAAAAAAAAAAAAAAAAAAGGGCUAAUGAUAUGAACUUUAGGAAUCAAAAUCACAUCAGUCAAUUAAAGUUGGUAAGAAGAGCAUUUAUUGUGAAGAAUUUUUUGCAGGUAGGUAAAGCAUCUGAGAUUUUGAGGGGAAAGUUCAUAGCUUUUAGUGUUGCAAGAUUCCUGAGUCAAAUAACUGGAAAUUCAAAUUAGUUAUAAUUAUCCUUGACAUAAGGUCAUGCUUCCCAAAAAUGGCAAUAAUUAUGUUUCAGGAUAAUUUACCAGUGGAGAUGGUGGACUCAACAUUCACCGCAGUGUCUAAAGCAGAGAUAAACAGGAGAGUUCGGUGGAUGUUAGAACUUAAGAUUUAUUGGCCUUUUUGAAAACGACAUUUUUUUUGUUGAAAUAAGUAAAACUACACACAUUCCCAUGGAACAAGAAGUUCCCAGAUCCCUGAAGUUGCUCAGCAAAUCUGACACUCUUGUGCACUUCAUUACUAGCUGGCAAUUAGCAAGUCCAUUAAAUGCUAGUUAAUGAGAAUGCUAAUUUCACUGAACAGCUGCAGGUGUCUCCCAGCACAUCCAUCUCUGGGGCAGAUCCUCCAGCUGACUGCCCCAGGCUGGGAGAUAUCUGUUUUCCCAAAUUCCCAAUUCUGGGGCAGCCCCAUCAGGGCCAUCUGUUCUUGAGCCAGAGAGGGUGCAAUGGCCAAGAUGCUUGGCUCUGGAUAAAUCCUGCAAAAUGUGGGUGUGCUGCCAGAAAAACAGCAUUAAUGGGUCUGAGAAUUGAUUGCUGACCAGUCCACCACAACCCAGCUACGGGUUUGGUAUAAGCUCAUGAGAGUAUUUCCAACAAAAGCCUCUCCAACCCAAUGGGCUGGCAUUUCCAGGUGUUUCUGCAGCAAAAGAAGCACAAGAGGAACAGCAAGGUUAAACUGGCAGUCCUGACAAAGGAAAUAGUAAAUUUCUCUGGUGCCUGUUGCAGAGCAUGACCUGGUGUGCAUGAGCUUUUGAGAGGGGAAUUCAGCCAUCUAGCGUCUGGUUUACAAAGGCAAUCAGGGCUUAGCAAUUGAUAGUUUUCUUCCCAAAGCUUUCACACUCACAGAUUGUAGAUUUAUUGGAGAAAGAUUUGGGCUCAACCCAGCUCUCUCUGUGUGAAAGAUUUAUAUAGCACUGGCAGCAUAUGGAACUGAAAGUACAGAUAAACCUCUGCACCUUUUGAUGCUAAUUCAGGCAGAACCUUCAAGCGUGGAAAGUUCAGCAUCAUUAUUAAUAUAAAAACCUUUGAACGCAACAAUACACCCCCAGCCCUGCACACCACACACCAUUGUACUUACUUUACUUUUAUUUCUUCUAAUUACAAAGCAUUACUCACAAGAAUGACAGAUUUUAUUACUCACUAUUAUACAAUUUCUUUAUUCCCCAGUCCUAACAAAAAAGAAAGUACAGAAAAAGAAGUUAUUUGGAAAAAAAAAAAAAAAAAAAAAGAAUACCCCUCAUAAUAAAUGACUUAAUCAUAAGAAAGAAUUUCGAUGCCAAGGCAUUACUUUUUCUGAAUUUGCCUGUUUGGUUAAAAUUCCUGCCAUGUUUGACUUGAGGCAAUUCUGUAGUUAGCUUCAAAUUUGUCACUCUCCUGACUAAUUCCUUUUAAUUAGACUUAACAUAGAAAAAAAAAGUUGUCAUCGUUUAAAAUUAAGUCAAGUAAUGUAUUGAUUGAAUGAGGACUUAACAAAUAAGUAGUCUUAUAGCAAAUGAUUCAAGCAAGAACAUUUUUAAGCUCAGGCAUUUUUCUUUCCCUGUCCUGAAUCCUACUCAAUAUUACGUUUCACCUUGUGGUCCUUCCAGAUUCCCUAUAUAUGCAUGCACACAGGUGCACAUGCACAUUAAGCAAUUAUUUCACAUAGACAGUCAAGACAAGUAUGUGAAUUGAAGCGUUUAACCAUUCAGUAACAAAAUGGGACAUUUUGAGGACAUUCAGAAAAGAAAUGACUUCUUUAUCCUAAUGGUUUUUGUCUAUGCCUACACCAGCAAGGCAAGAGUUGGGUAUGUCUUGAUAACAGUGGAGCUUUACCUCCAGACUGCCUGGAAAAUCAAAUAUGGUUGGAUUGGAGGAAGAUUGCUAGCACUGACUUUCAGCCACAUAUCCAUGGCAUUGCUCUGUGCCACUUCACAAAGUUACAGCUGGAAAAGUGUAAGAGGUAAGAAAUGGACAUAGGGAUGUUAGUCUACACUUGGCUAAACAUUAGCCAGCAUUGUGCCCAGGUAACAAAGAAGGCCAGUGUCAUCCUGGCACGUGUAAGAAAUAGUGUGGCCAGCAGGAGCAGGGAGGUGGCUGUCCCCCUGUGCUCAUCUCUGGUAAAGCCUGAGUACUGUGUUCAACUUUAGGCCCCUCAUACAAAAAAACAAAAACAAACAAACAAAACAAAACAAAACAAAACAAACAAACAAACAAAAAAACCCACACUGAGGCCCUAGAGCAUAUCUAGAAAAGGGCAAUGAAGCUUGUGAGGGAUAUGGAGCACAAGUUUUAUGAGGAGCAGCUGAUGGAACUGGGAUUGUUUACUCUGGAGAAGAGGAGGCUCGGGAGAGACCCUCUUGCUCUCUACAACUAUCUGAAGGGAGGUUGUGGUGAGAUAGGGGUCAGCCUCUUCUCCUGGGUAGCGAGGAUAGUCCUAGAGGGACUGACCUCGAGUUGCACCAUGGAAGAUGCAGGCUAGAUGUUAGGAAAAAUUUCUUCGCCAAAAGAGUGCUCAGGCACUGGAACGGGCUGUCCAGGGAGGCAGUUGGGUCAUCAUCCCUGGAGCUGUUCAAGAAACAUUUAGAUGUCUUACUAAGGGACAAGGUUCAGACGAGAAAUAUUGGUGGAGGAAGGAUGGUUGGACUAGAUGUUCUUUGAGGUCUUUUUCAACCUUGGUGAUUCCAUGAUUCUAUGAUUUUUAAAUGCCUUCCAGAUUUUUGUUGAAUAGAACUGUCUGAAGAACACCUCUUUGGGUGUGUUAAGAUCAGAGUUCAGUCUUCGGGCAGCUCUCUCUAGUCUACAUUUAAAAUUUCUCUCUUAUAAACAAUAAUUGCCUUCAGAAUAAAUGAAUUUCCUGAAAUAGUAAUUUUGACCCAGAUCUUUUCAAUACAUCAUUGCACUUCAUUGAUGCAUGAUUGCAUGGUGGUCAUGCAGUGAGCUACAGAAAUGUGUUGCUAUUAUACAGUUACCCACAUUUACUUGAAAAGAUUUCCUCUGGAUUCUCCUUCUCUUGUUCUACUAGUUAUAUACAAGUAUAGGAGUACUAAAUCUUACUGCAUUGCCACUUAAGAUAGUCUGAGGAAAAUACAUCGACCCUGUAAAGAUUUUGCAGAUUAAAGCUAUCCUUCAAUAUCUAUGGUUCAUAGGUCCUUCCCUAGCAAACUAGCCUUGAGGGAAGACUGCUGAGCAUCCAGUAAUUUUUUACAAGCAAUUGACCCACUCUAAUAAGAUUAGUUCUUCAGAUAACCCAUGACUCCCUGAAAAUGACUGUACAAGUGUUUUUCUCCAAAGUUCCAUAUGCAGGCAGUAUCAAGAAUGUUUUCAGUGUCUGCUAGAAGGGUAUUUUUCAAGAGUGAUGGUGAGAGAGUAUUAAUGAAGAUAUUUUGAAGCCAACGUGAGUAAAAUCUGUAAUGCUCUAGUGAAGUACAUAAUUCUCUGAAAGUGAAUCCAAACAGCUAAGAAGUCUUCUUCUACACGGUGAUUAAUUCCCUCUGAUGCAGAACAAUAUCUAGAGAUUAUCUUCCACUCAACCUCUGCAUCUCCAGGUAAAGUGUGAAGAGUAGAUGGAGAUAUGGUUGGGCUAGAUGUUCUUAGUACUCUUUUCCAACAUUAAUCAUCCUAUGAUCCUGCAGUACUGUGUCACACUACUCAAAAAGGCUGGGGCUACAGUGACAGUCAUUGAUCUCUCCUUUCAUAAAAGCACAUUUUUUUUAAUCAAUCCACAUUUGGUAACAAACAAAUGAGAACAGGAUCACCAUAGGGUGGGUGUUGAGAAGUGGCUCCUUCUCUCAAAUGUCGGAAUAAUCAUAGAAUCAUAGAAUCAUUAAAGUUGGAAUGACCUCUAAGAUCAUCUAGUCCAACUGUCAACCCAUUAUCACUACGUCCACUUAAAGAAUCAUUACAGAUUGUCUGAGAGUUACUUCCCUGGGAUAAUCCACAGUACAGAAAGAAAAAAAUAUCAUCUUCUUAUGCAGCAGGAGUUCAUGGAAGUAGUAGCAAUUCACCACCAGCAAGCAGACUGUUGGUCCCCACAGCACUCUGUGCCAUGCUAAGGAUGUGUAGAGAGAGACAUAAAAUUUGGGAUGUGUGUCAAUCUGUUCUUCUUCCUUGGAAAAAGAUAGCUGACAGGUAUUCAGUACCAUCUGCUGAUGGUCCUCGUUAUCAUCUUUCUUCCUUUGAUGACUGGGUCCAGAUUUUGGGGCUAACGGUGAAAGGACUGUACUGGAAAUAGUUCCAAAAUAAUGGAGCCACUCCUAAGGAAACUGCUUUUGUGAAAGAGAACAGUUAUGACUCAGCAUGAGGAUUUGUGUUCCUUCAAAUACUUUCAUUUCUUCCUCUUUAGUCCGUUUUCCUGAUAUACCAUCUUGUUGUAAAUCUAUAUGCAUCAUUACCCCCAUUCCCCUCCCACAACCCAAAAAGUUAUACAUCCUCUAGCAAAGUUCAACUACAUUUGAUGGAAUAGUAGAAGUCCACUUCCAUGGGUUACAAGCAUGUUGCUUUUUUUCACACUCAUAGUGUUUCUUUCUUGAUCUUAUAUCUAUUAUAGAAAAAUGCCAUGAUAAGUCUUGCACUCCUAUCAUCCUUUCAAUAGUAGGGUCAAAAAUGAUCCUCAAAAGUUGCAUGUGAGUUACUCAUGAACGUUGGCUUGGUAGAGCUGAGACUUUCAGGGAGUUUCAGUAUUGGCAAAGAACAAAUGCUGACUUGUGAGGUUUGCCCAUACCUCUGGAGAGAGAAUCAAUCACAGUAUAAUGAAGCAUUCAAGCCAUCAGUUGUUACGAAAUAAGACUUCCACCAUAGUCUUUACUCCACUAAAGCACACCACUUUUCAGCUCAUUUAAUCUGAACCAUCACAUCUUUUGAAGUCUGAUUGAGUCAGAAUAAGUCUGACCGUGCUCAUGAAUUUCUGUCAAAGAUCAGGGUUCAAUAAAUUAGUGCAUGUGGAAGAAGAACAAAGAAGACAACUUCAUCCUUAGCUUUUUAUCUCUGCAAUGGUAGAUCAGGAGUAUCAGUGUGGUAUCAGUAACAGUGACAGCUUGUACAUACUUCCUGAGCAUACAGGGGUUGACUUGGACUUGAGAUCAGGUUAUUGUGAUCUUGCUUGCUCCUUUUUCCUUGCUCAGCUCACCUGGUUGUUAGGGCAAAUUCAGAGGACAUAGUACAAGAGAGAAGUCUAGUGACUGCUCAGAGAAUGGUAGAGGUAUCGGUCCCUCAGUCCUUCCUUGUCUCAAAUGUUUGUUUGUUUGUUUGUUUAAUCCACUAUUAAAAAUAAUCAAUAAAAUAAUAACAAUAUUUUAAUGUGUACCUUUUUCGUUUCCUCUUUUCCUCCUUAGUCCUCCAUGAAAGGAAACAUUCUCUUGUCUAUCUUCUAUAUCAACAGAUAAUCAUUCUUACAAGAAAAAACAAUGUGUAAUCAGUUAAAAAUACAAAGGAUUUUUGCCAGAAAUUUGCUUGGAGAAGCUGCUUGCUUAUUUGCUUGAAUAGUCCUUCCAAGACAGGCAUAAUUGCUAGGCAGGGAAUUGACUUCCCAUCCUCGGCCAGAUGAUCAACACUUUUGCCCUAACAGCAUGUUUCUGUCAAUGGCAGAGUUGGCAGCCUCCAGAGCAUGAUGGUUUUCCUUAGCCACAGUGUGACAUUUCUUCUGCAUACCAAUUGAGGAAGCAGGCACACUGGUAAGUUUCUUUUUCUCGGCUAGUAUAUAUGCUUAUUCAUAGACAUAGAAUCAUAGAGUUAUAGAAUCUUUUGAAUUUAUAGAAUCAUGGGAUCAUUUGAGUUUGAAGGGACCCUUAAAGGCCAUCUAACCCAACUCCCCUGAAAUAAACAGGGACACCUACAGCUUGAUCAGGUUGCUCAGAGCCCCAUUUAACCCGGCCUUGAGUGUCUCCAAAGACAAGGCAUCCAUCACCAGCCUGGGCAACCUGUUCCAAUGCUUCUUUAUCAUAAAAAGCUUUUUCCUUAUAUUCAAAUCUCUAAAUCUCCCCUCUUCUAGUUUGAAACCAUUCCCCUUUGUCCCACAACAACAGACCCUGAUAAAGAAUCUAUCGCCUUCCUUAUUAUAGCCCCCCUUUAGAUAUUGAAAGGCUGCUACCAGCUCUUCCAAGAGCCUUCUCUUCUCCAGGCUGAAAAGUCCCAUCUGCCUAAGCCCGUCCUCAUAGCUGAGGUGUUCAAUCCCUUGGAUCAUUCUUAUAGCCCUCUUCUGAUGCACUCCAACAGAUCCAUGUCUCUUCUGUGCUGAGAACUCCACAUUCAGAUACAAUACUCCAGGUGAUAUCUCAUCAGUGCAGAGUAGAGGGGGAGGAUUAGCUCCCUUGCCCUGUUGGCCUCACUUCUCUUGAUGCAGCCUUGGAUACGACUGACUUUCCCCUAUUUCCCACUUCCAAACCAUCCUCUUGACGGCUGUGUGAAUAGCAGUUGCAGGUGAAGACUGAGGCAAAAAAGUUUUUGAGUACCUUAACUUUCUCCUUGUCUGUUGCUAUCAGCCUGCCUGUAUUGUUCACUACGGGGGAUAUGACCUCUAAGACUCUCCUUUUAGUUUACGUACCUGUAUCUUAUUCUCUGCACCCCUUCCAAGUCCAGCUCCAACAGGGCCUUGGCAUUCUUGACUCUAUCUCUACACAACCUAGCAGCAUGUCAAGCUAUUUUUUUUCAUCUUUUUUCGUUUUUCCCCACUUUUCUGUCUACUAAUUCUAACCUUCCUAAGCUUUUUGUCUCAGAAAUAUCUCAUGAGAAAGUUAGUCUACUGCAGACAGAAAAUAAUGCCAUGUGAGAAGAAAACACAGUAUCCUGAAAAACAAAACACAAAUCCACCAAAGAACAAUCCCUUCCAAAAGCAAAUGAUUAUUAGAAGAACAUAUCCAACAAACCCUUCCAGAAACCAUCCUACUACUCAAAGAACAAGAGCAAUUAGAAAAACUGCAAUGUAUUUACCAGAGAGAAUGGAAAACACUGUAAGGUUUCAUUUGCUGAUCUUCAAGCAUAGCGAUGCUGGGCAUGAUGUAAGACUAGCCAGAAGAAAUAUGAGCAUUUAUGUGCAAAAAGACAGCAGGAGAUGAGAAAGUAGCUCCUCUGAUGGAUUUUCUGAUUGCACUGAGCCACCCAGAAUGUUAAGAUUGCUAUUUUUAUUAUUUUGCCCACUAUCUUGGCUGGAGAUUUAGUGGAUAUCAUUUACAGAGAUGAUAGGAUAUUUAAUUUCCAGAACAGGUUUCUUUUGACUGACUCUUUUCUUCUUUUAACUUCAGCUUACAUCUAAUCUUGACCAUCAAUACCAGUGUAUAGCAGAGCUCUUUCUAUAACCUGCUCAAGGAAAAAAAGUCCCCAGUAAUGAGCCUUAGAAUGUAUUAAAGAAUCUCAGUUAUUCUCCAGUGAAAUUCAUGCCCCUUGAAGCCUUAAGAUGAUGGGUGAAGGCUACAUGACACUUCAAUGAAUGUUCUUCUAACCUUAUUUCCUCACAAAAGAAUCCUAUGCAACUCUUGUGUACACGUAUGCUACAAGAACAAUAACCAUGUGCCCAGUCAUCACCUGCAUCUGGCAAGGAGGCACAAUUUGCUAGUUUAGUAAUUUCUUCCCCUGUAAAAAUUGUUUUUGAGUGAGUACAACCUUCAGUAGAUAUCAGAGGCGCCAUGAAAUUCUUUUGUGUUGAGUCAAAACUGCACUGGAAAUCAAUGCUGUGCUCUUCACAGAAUAUUAGAACAUUAAAUAUUGUUUACAAACCAUCAAGGAAAAUUAAGAGAGGACUGAUGUUAAACAGUGUUUAUAAACAUUAAUGUUUAUAAACAUUAAUGAAGAAUGUCUGUCCAAGCAUUUGCAAAUGAGGAAGAAAAGACAUUUAAAUAGUAUGGAAAAAAAGGGGAAGGGGAGGGGGGUAGGUGUGAAGGAAGGAAGGGGGAGGGGGAGAGAGAGGGGAAAAGAAGGGGAGAGGAAUGGAAGGGAGAAGGGAAGGAAAUUAUUUUUAUAUUUAUUUCAAUGAUGAUAGACAGGAGAAACACAUGAAUAUGACAUGAUUUUUUUCAUGGUUAUAUACUGAUGGUUAGUGGGCAGACUGGCAAUCAUCCUAAAAUUUUCUAGGAACCAGUAUAAAGUUGGAGCCUUUUUCUUCACUUGUCUCUAGUUUUCCAUUCCAAGCUGGAUUUGUCUGAAUGAAUUACAGAUCUAGCUAACACAUUACCACAUGACUCCCAAAUCUGCUUCUACAUUUUGAAGAAAUAGAUCCUUCUAGCAGUUUGCAUGCAUCUAAGAGCUGAGAAAAAAAAAAAAAUCUUCCUUUUCCCCUCGUUUCCAAUUCAGUUGGGAUCUGACAUGAAACCUCCAGAAGCUUAAUGUCUGUGUCUGCCAAGAGGAAAAGCAGAACAUGGAUAGAAACAGAAUUUUAUGUGUUCAGCUAACAACCACUUAAAUCAAGCAUUUCCUAUGCUUAACUUUUGUAGGGGAAGGAGUCCCAGCCAACCCUGGCUUCCAGUGAUACCAAUUAAAGUCUCAGGAUUGUUAAUAACACAAUGGCUUGGAUAGAUCAGGCAUAGAGGACAGUAUCUAAUUCCAGUACCCCAGCAAACAUAUUUAAGUCAUAUGUAUUCCUUAUUCCUAAGCUACAAACAGGUGAUAUCUUCCAGCAAGGACACGAGGUUGCAAUAGUGUAGGCUUACCUCUCCAAACAGAGACAUAUUAAUGUCUCUAAAUCCCAAUGCCUAGUAACUGUAGGGCAGGCCUCUUCCCUCAGGUGAUAGGGUAAAAAGUAAUGGCCUUAAGUUGCAUCAGGGGAGGUUCAGGGUGGAUAUUAAGAAAAUUUCUUCUCAGAAAGAGUGGUAAUACACUGGAACAGGCUGCCCAGCGAGGUGGUGGAAUCAAUGUCCCUGGAGGUUCAAGAAAUGUGGAGAUGUGGCUCUUGGGGAAUUAGUUUAGUGGGCAUGGUGGGGAUCAGCUGAGGGUUGGUCUUGGUGAUCUUAGUGAUCUCUUCCAGUCUUAAUGUUAAAAACUAUAAUGUCGCCAAAGUCAAGGUGAAGGGAUAGGAGGAUGAGGCAGUCAUGACAGUCAUAAUACUGCUUCAUGCUGAUUGCUAGACUGAUGCCUCUAAUAAUUAUUCUACGCUAAAGUCUCUGAUGUGUGAGCUGUCACCAAUUGCAAAUGCCAUAUAUGUUUUUUUUUUCUGAAAAGUUUUAGCAUUGGAAUGGUGAUGUUAGAGCAGAACAGUGCAAGACAGAAAUUUCCUGGGAUGGGAAAAAAGAAAAAGAAAAAUCAAAUCUCCUCUUCUCUUUUCAACCCUUUCAGCUGAUGUAGAUUACUGGAGAUGGAGAUCUUGAGGGCUGCUUUCAUUAGGAGAGGAAAUACGGCAUCUCAGCAUCGUGUUAAGAUCCCACACUUCUCAGUGAGGAAUGCCUUGUUUUGUGAUGGCUUAAACCAACUCUAUCACUAUGGAGACUUAAUAGUCUUGUUUCUCAGAUGCCCUAUAGAUUUGCAGCAACAUGAUGUGUUACAAAAAAUGCAGAUCUUCAAAACAUGUUAUUAAUGAUAACAGUAUUUAAUGACAAACUAUCUGCUUAGCUGAAUGAACCUCUCCGCUGCCUCUCUGUUUGCAUAAUUUAGGUUUAUUUCUGAAUUCCUGUAAAAUGAUGCCUACUUAUGUAACAUGAAUGCUAUUACUCUCUUCACUCCAUCUUAAUCAGUAUCACAGGAAAAAAAAAAUGAAAAAGUUGAAAAGUAUAUUUCUUGAGACCAUCCACAGCCAAAAUGUUCUCUGAGGAAAUGUGUUUGCUUAAGCCUGGGUUCAGGAAAUUGGUAUCAUGUGAUACUGAAGUGACAAAACCAUCCUGAUUUGCUCAUUUUCCCUCAAGAUACUUUAAUUUAAAUGUCUGUUAUAUGUUUAAUAAAACACACUGCUGUUUUUGGCUGCAUCCCUUGAUUCCAUUUUCUUGCAGGAAAAAAAAAAAGAAAAAAAAGGAGCAAUUUUUUAAUAUCAUUUUAUCUUCUGGAUUCAUAACAGGUCUUAUUUUGUCAGCAAAGUAGAAGGAGCAAGCACAGUUUGCAGAUGGCAUAAUUUGAGGAAUGCCUUUCAAUUCCUCCUCCAGCAUGUAAAAUCUUCUCCGCAGCAGACUGUCCCACUCCUACUCUAGGAUUUCAAGAAGGUUUAGUCUUAUUAUUACUCUUGCUAACAGAAAACACUGGAAUAGAUUCUUUCUUAUAUCAUUGAAAAGAGUGAGUUGCAUCCAAAUGUAAACAUUUAGAUAGUUCACACUCAUUUCAGUGACAUUUUCCAUUUUGUUAUGAAAAACAUUUGCAUUAGCAAGGUAAUGAAGAUUUUUGCAGCUUAUUUUACUUUUAAAAACCUGUACCUUUUCUCUUCUUUUGGAGAGCUUGGUUUUCUCACUUUUAACUUCAUGCAACCUGUCUUUUUGCAAUAGAAAUUUAAGAAAAGGGAAGUGAAAUGAAAGUGGAUUUUGUUACACUUUGCCAAUGCUGCUUCUUUCACUUUUAUUCUUGUUCUCUUUUUCAAGUGGAAGGACAAGGUGUAAUUAAAAAUUUAAGGCAAUGUUAAUAUAAAUGUGAAUGAAACAUUUCUUGUAUUUUUCACCUUUAAAAAGCUAAACUAUUUCAAUUAGAUGCUCCAGAAAAAGUGUUUUUCUGUUUGCCUAUCCUUUCCUGAAGUCUAAAGGCAACCAAACUUACACUAUUCAUUAUCACCUGGAACGUAUGUUUUCUUUCUUGUAUUCCAUUCUGUCCUUCCCCGUUCAUGUGUUUUUCUUUAAGAACUUACACAGUCAGCAGAUAAUUUCAACAUCAUUUGUCAAGGUGGAAAAUUUCUUAAAAUUCUGCUAACUUUCAAUAAAAUAUAUGACUCAAAUAAAUGAUAAAAGAGAGAGAUGUGGAAUGUGUUGGAUGUUAGGAAAAAAUUCCUCUCAGAAAGAGUGGUAAUGCACGGGAACAGGAUGCCCAGGAAGAUGGUAGAGUCACUGCCCCCAGAGGUGUUCAAGAAAAGAGUAAAGGUGUCACUGAGGGACAAGGUUUAGUGGGUGUGGUGGGGAUGGGUUGAUGGCUGAAUUAG
ensembl:lncRNA